UGGGGAAUAUUGGACAAUGGGCGGAAGCCUGACCCAGCCAUGCCGCGUGUGUGAAGAAGGCCUUAUGGUUGUAAAGCACUUUCAGCGAGGAGGAGACUACUUGGAUUAUUACCCUAGGAUCGUGGACGUUACUCGCAGAAUAAGCACCGGCUAACUCGGUGCCAGCAGCCGCGGUAAUACAGAGGGUGCGAGCGUUAAUCGGAUUUACUGGGCGUAAAGUGUGCGUAGGCGGCUUCUUAAGUCGGAUGUGAAAUCCCAGGGCUUAACUUAGGAAUUGCAUUCGAUACUGGGAGUCUUGAGUAUGGGAGAGGGUGGUAGAAUUCCAGGUGUAGCGGUGAAAUGCGUAGAGAUGUGGAGGAAUACCGGUGGCGAAGGCAGCCAUCUGGCCUAAUACUGACGCUGAGGUGCGAAAGCAUGGGGAGCAAACAGG
rnacentral:rRNA from 1 species